CAGGGGGACAACAAAAUGUUUAAUAUUAUUAUUUUGUCACCUUAGGUCGAUCGGUAUCUCACGUUCUUAAUUUGUUAAGAAUUUCAUUUCCUAAGUUUUUCUAGGUCACACCCAUUAUUUUUCCUGGGCCAUUAGCUCAGGUGGUUAGAGCGCACCCCUGAUAAGGGUGAGGUCCCUGGUUCAAGUCCAGGAUGGCCCAUAUCUCUAUGUUGGGGGUAUAGCUCAGUUGGUAGAGCGCCUGCUUUGCAAGCAGGAUGUCAGCGGUUCGAGUCCGCUUACCUCCACUGAUUACCACCUCUUCCAUAAUCGGUAGAAAGGAAAUGUUUUGAGUUGUGAUCAUUAUUCUGAACGAAUCUAGCUUCCUAAUGAAAUCAUUAAGAUGCUGGACUCAUUGAAUUAAUUUCAUUGUUUUCAGAGAACCUUGACAACUGCAUAGAUUAUUUUUAAAGACAAUAAGCAUCUUUAAUGAUGCAGAUUUAUUAUUUGUGCGAAUGCAUUAAUAACAAUUCUAUUAAGCUGAUGCUUCAAUUUUUGAAGUUAUU
rnacentral:tRNA from 1 species